AGCCGCGGUAAUACGGAGGGAGCUAGCGUUGUUCGGAAAUACUGGGCGUAAAGCGCACGUAGGCGGCACUGCAAGUCAGGGGUGAAAGCCCGGGGCUCAACCCCGGAACGGCCUUUGAAACUAGUGGGCUAGAAUCUUGGAGAGGUCAGUGGAAUUCCGAGUGUAGAGGUGAAAUUCGUAGAUAUUCGGAAGAACACCAGUGGCGAAGGCGACUGACUGGACAAGUAUUGACGCUGAGGUGCGAAAGCGUGGGGAGCAAACA
rnacentral:rRNA from 1 species